rnacentral:lncRNA from 1 species
GGGGCUGUCAGAGGAGGAGGCUGAGUGGGGACUGAGAUAGCUCAAGACGAUCUUCACGAUACUUGGUUCGGUGUUCACCAUGAAUUCCUCAUCUUGGUGGCGGAAAGGGGCAAUGAGGCUUCAAUCUCAGAGCAGCACAUUUCUUAGGCGCCAUGGAUCCAAAAAGCCUCUCGAAAAUGCAGUGGAUUGGGUUCUAAGGAGUGGAUUUUGGGUAUUCUAGGGUUCUAAGGUUGGUUGGCAAAG